ACCCUCCCUCCCUCACCGACCUCCCUUUCUCCAGAUUUCUCUCCCACACCUGAACUAUCUCCCGCAGGCAGGCUUUCUCAAUCUAUUGACAUUUGGGCUGGAUAAUCCUUAGUUGUGGGGACUGUCCUGUGCAUUGUAGGAUAUCUGGCAGCAUCCCUGACCUCCACCCACUGGAUGCCAGUAGCAUCUCCUUCUCCCUAGUCGUGACAACCCAAACUGUCUUCAGACAUUGCCAAAUGAUGCCCGGGGGGGUCAAGGGGUCAAGAUCCCCCAGGUUGAGAACCACUGCCCCAGGGUCUGACCACAGACACUGCUGGAACGAUAUCAGGGUGGCCGAGUGACCUGGCUGCACUACUGACACACUGUGUGACCUCGAAUGAUUAUAUCAUCUUUCUGUGCCUGUUUCCUAACUUGCACAAUAGUACCUACCCUACAGAAGGCUGCUGUAGGGUUCUGCGAGUGAACACACACAUUCUCAGAAUGGUCCAGGCGCACAGCACUCAGUCACUGUUAUUAUCAGUCCUUUCAUUCCCUUCUCCCCAUCGAGGCCAAGCUCCUUAGGGUGCGGAUUGUGUCUGAGGCAUCUCUGGCUCCCAUGGCCCCUCGACAGUUCUCACACAUGCAUCGGUGUUUAAUAAGUAACUUGCUCCCUGGUGUGAGAGGGCAUCUGUGAACCCUGGCAUGUGUGAGUGAGAAGCCAAACGUGGGUGGGUCCUUUCUCCCUACUCCUGGCCCUCCCUGGCUUCCGCACAUUAUCACACCAUCAGAUCAGCCUUCUCAGGCUGGCUCAGACCUGCCUCUCCCAACACAAAACCAGUCCACCAUCCAUCAAUUCCAGAAGAAACUCCCAAAGGCCACUUUCCUUUCUGCUAUCCACCUGAGUCUAACUCCUCCUUCAAGGCCCACCUUAAAAAUCAGGUAGGGCUUCCCUGGUGGCACAGUGGUUGAGAGUCCGCCUGCCGAUGCAGGGGACACGGGUUCGUGCCCCGGUCUGGGAAGAUCCCACAUGCCGCGGAGCGGCUGGGCCCGUGAGCCAUGGCCGCUGAGCCUGCGCGUCUGGAGCCUGUGCUCCGCAACGGGAGAGGCCACAACAGUGAGAGGCCCGCAUACCUCAAAAAAAAAAAAAAAAAUCAGGUGAGGAGAUUGCGGCCAGAGACGUGAAGGAACCUGUUCAAGGAAGGCCACACCGCUCACAGGACAGGAGCUCUGCUUCUGUUGUUCUUUCUCCUGCACUGGGCUUUGAUAACCUUUCCCUGCAUUAAUUAACCAACAUUACAACCUGGGAGAGACACCAGCAACUGAGCCUGUGCUGUGUUAAAUGCUGCAGAAGCACCGUCACAUAAAUCCUCACAGCAAGUCUAAGAUUGCACGGUUGCUGCUAUGUGAGUGACAGGCACCAUGUAAUUGACGGACAGACCAGAAAUUAAAGCCUGCUUUGAAGUGGAAACCCAAACGUCAGGUUCAGUGCUUGCUCAGAAAGAAAGCACCAAAAACACACAGCCACAACUGGACUCCUGGUGAGGUAGGUCUCACUGGCAUCCACGUCAGGUCAAACAAACAAUGCAGGCAGAGGAAAGAGAGGGGCAAGAUGGGAUCCCUGCGGGGAGGAAGGGAAGAAGGAAUCGGUAAAAGAAAGGAGGAAACCCCUCUGUCUCUGUGCAGGUGAGAGCACCAAGCCAGGAAUUAUUCAUCAGUUUGUGGUGAGGUUAUUACUGAAUGGACUUCCAAGUAAAUUUUUCCCCCUUCCUUCCUGGAUGGACGUGGCUAUAAACCCUGCAGCCUCAUUCUGUUCUGCGUGUCUCUAGAGGUGGCCCAGAGUAACUCACUCCUGAAAGGGCAGCCUCUCUUUAGGAAAAAGCGUGGUACCACCUCCCUCAGAGAAGGGAGCUCGUGUGGGCACCGCAGUGCACGCUCCCCUUGAGACCACCCGAGUGAUCUGGAGAAAUGCUCUCGGCCCCUCGGUUCCCUGUGCACGCAAUGCAGUCUCUGUGCACGAUCCUGACGGUAACUUUCUAGGGGGCGUGGAAAGAAACCAUGGGUUCUAGACGCAGCCUUCUCCACUUAAAAUUUGAAAAAGCGUCAGGCUGGGUGUAAAGGCAAACAAUCUGACAGGCGUUUAAAUGGUGUAAAAGGAACAUGAGGCAGAAAAUAUUUAAUGUUAGGCAACAGUUCCUUCAGAUGCAAGAAGCACAUUGUGAAACGAUACUUAUAAAUGAAAUGCAACCAUUUAAUCUUACUACUCUAUAAUGAAUUCCUCACACUAGAGUAAUUUGCUGUAAAAAUAAAUAUACGUUUUCCAAAUGCUUUCUCUGCUCUAGGCAGGUCUAAAAUGGAUUUAUAAUCAGAGAGCCUCUGUGUUGCCUGUUCUGAUCGACAAAGCCAUCUAAUUUUUUGUUCAAAUGACCUGUGGAACUUCUGGAUACCAAUCCUUUGAAGAUUCAAAGGGACCUCGCACAGCCUUGCACUCAUAAGUGCUCGAGAAAUAUUCUUCCCUUGAUGGAGACAGUAAAGGACUCUCACGUAUGGCCUUCUACUCGUGCUUCUCAUUCCACAUGCCACACGAAGCCCAGGAUGGAACUUGGGGAUGUGUGAGAGAGAAGACAUGAAAAACGGACUGGUCCCUUGAGGAGGGAGUUGAUUCUGGCCAGUGGACACCAGACAGAACCAAAUCUGGGAAGUCAUAACCUAUCCCAAGUCACUCGAAACAGCCGGCUCUGAUUUCAACGGUGAUGCGAUGCCUGUGGCUCUACGUGGAAACAGCCUCAGGGGCUCUAGGUGCUGGUGGCCCUUAAUGGCACUUGAACUACGUGAUGGCACCAUGAGGGCCGCUGUCGCCCUUGGCUUGUGCGUGGUUCUAGGUGGCACUAGCAUCGUGGUGGAGAUUUUAGAGCUCUGCAUUUCCAUGGGAUCGAACCAGCUCUGGCCGGUUCAAACUAGCUGUGAAUGAUUUAAACUAGACAAAAGUGCUUCUUCAGGGAUCAAAUAGGCUCGCUGCUUUUAAAUCUUGAUAAGGCAGAUUCAAACAAGUUAUGACUGGUUUGCACUGAGUUACCCUUGCACUGACUUGGUUCAGACUAGCCAGGGUAGAUCUGAUCAAAUGGCUCGUUUUAGGUGAAGCAAGCCAGUUCAAUCUAGCUUGAACAGGAUCAACCGGUUCGAAUGCAAUGACAGCUAGUUGGAACCACACUGUAUCACGGACGUUUUAGUCACUGGUCUCUAACUGUACAAGGAAAUACGGUGAUACAGCUCUCACAUAUUAUACUGGAAAUAUCAUACUUACAAUGUUAUCCUUUCUCACCUUUUCAACUUUUCAAAGCUUAUCACUUUUU